UGCGUUUCUUUUGAAAAAUAAAUAUGCUAUGAUGCACAUGAUGCAGACAUGGCUGGCUGGUUGUGCAGAUUCUGAUACUAGGUCGAAGCUUCAGUCAAAACUCGGAACUUAAAUCCAACUUAAGGUCAACCGAAAACUGUUGUCUGAACUAGAGUCACCAACAGAACCGAGUCACCAACGGUACCUGUAAUAAUGAAUAACCCUUCCCCACUCACGGGUGUAAUCUAGGCCAGGGUAAAGCUUGAGAGAAACGCAGCAUAAAUAACCUUUCGCAG
rnacentral:lncRNA from 1 species